CUACUGUGAUGUACCAUUAGAAUUUCUUCACCUGAUCAUAUUUAUGAAGAGUUGAACAGAGCUUUUUAAAACUGAGUAGA